UCUGACGCUAGUUAGUGGAGCGCGGCAGGGCUUUCUGAGGCCAGUAUGACGUCAGCUGAUAGGGAACGCGGGCUUUGGCCUCGCGUCUGGAACAACCGGGCCCGACGGCGGCACUGAGGCUGCACGCAGUUGGGGUUGGGUAGCUCCCAGUGCAAAAUCUCUUGCCAAUGCCUCCUCACCACCAAUAUUUUCUGAUUGGACCUGGAGGUCAGUGUGCGAGAGAGGGUGAGAGGAAGUCCACACUGGUCAGUCUUCAGGGGAACAGAGCAAGACAAA